rnacentral:rRNA from 1 species
AACGAACGCUGGCGGCAUGCCUAACACAUGCAAGUCGAACGAGACCUUCGGGUCUAGUGGCGCACGGGUGCGUAACGAGUGGGAACCUGCCCUUAGGUUCGGAAUAACUCCCCGAAAGGGGUGCUAAUACCGGAUAAUGUCUUCGGACCAAAGAUUUAUCGCCUUUGGAUGGGCGCGCGUUGGAUUAGCUAGUUGGUAGGGUAAAAGCCUACCAAGGCGACGAUCCAUAGCUGGUCUGGGAGGAUGAGCAGCCACACUGGGACUGGGAUACGGCCCAGACUCGUACCGUAGGGGAAGGAGCAGUGUGGAAUAUUGGACGAUGGGCGAAAGCCUGAUCAAGCAAUGCCGGGUGAGUGAUGAAUGCCUUAGUGUUGUAAUGCUCUUUUACCCGGGAUGAUAAUGACAGUACCGGGAGAAUAAGCGCCGGCUAACUCCGUG